rnacentral:rRNA from 1 species
UGGGGAAUUUUGGACAAUGGGCGCAAGCCUGAUCCAGCCACGCCGCGUGCGGGAAGAAGGCCUUCGGGUUGUAAACCGCUUUUGUCAGGGAAGAAAUCUUCUGAGUUAAUACCUCGGGAGGAUGACGGUACCUGAAGAAUAAGCACCGGCUAACUACGUGCCAGCAGCCGCGGUAAUACGUAGGGUGCAAGCGUUAAUCGGAAUUACUGGGCGUAAAGCGUGCGCAGGCGGUUUUGUAAGACAGAGGUGAAAUCCCCGGGCUCAACCUGGGAACUGCCUUUGUGACUGCAAGGCUUGAGUGCGGCAGAGGGGGAUGGAAUUCCGCGUGUAGCAGUGAAAUGCGUAGAUAUGCGGAGGAACACCGAUGGCGAAGGCAAUCCCCUGGGCCUGCACUGACGCUCAUGCACGAAAGCGUGGGGAGCAAAACAGGAUUAGAUACCCUGGUAGUCCACGCCCUAAAACGAUGUCAACUGGUUGUUGGGAAGGUUCCUUCUCAGUAACGUAGCUAACGCGUGAAGUUGACCGCCUGGGGAGUACGGCCGCAAGGUUG